rnacentral:rRNA from 1 species
AAAAGCUCGUAGUUGAAUUUUUAAGAGAAUCAAUUGUAUGUGUUCGUUCUGAAUUACAAUGAAUGUUGAUUACUCUUAUUUGCUCUUUUCCAGUGUUGGAAUUCAGUUUUUGACAGUUAAUGAAGUGUUUAUUUACUUUGAGAAAAUUUGUGUGUUCUAAGCAGUCGUACGACUGUAUCCUAAAGCAUGGAAUAAUAAGUAAUGACUUUGAUCAAUUUCUGAUGGUUUGAGAGAUUAUUGUAAUGAUUUAUAGAGUUUGUCGGAGGUAUUAGUAUUUUGUCGUUAGAGGUGAAAUUCUGGGAUCGUCAAAAGACUAACAACUGUGUAAGCAAUUACCUAGGAUUUUCUCCUUGAUCAAGAACGUAAGUUGAGGGAUCGAAGACGAUCAGAUACCGUCGUAGUCUCAACUUUAAACGAUAUCAGCUAGGGAUUAGUAAAUGUUUAUAUGACUUUGUUAGAACCUUAUGAGAAAUCAAAGCGUUUGGAUUCCGGGGGGAGUAUGGUCGCAAGGCUGAAACUUAAAGGAAUUGACGGAAGGGCACCACAAGAUGUGGAUCCUGUGGCUUAAUUUGACUCAACACUGGGAAACUUACCAGGUCCAGACAUAGGUAAGAU